rnacentral:sRNA from 1 species
UUUUGACAACACCCGGUCCUGCUGUGCCGACAGUAGAUAUAUAAGUUAAGUCUUAAACUUUCUCAUUCGCAGCCAAGGAAAAUCUCUGGAAAGGUAUGUAUUAAAUGCUCUAUAACUCCAUAGAAUGAAAUGUUUUUAUUUCCAUCCCUUAUUUCAUAUGUCAAAAACAUGGAGAGAACGAAACUAAAUUAAAACAAGAGAAAACAUUCCAUUAUGCUUCUGAUUUGAAUAAUUUCACUUUGAUCAUUUUGUGUUACGAAUUAUUUAUUCAUGAUUUUAUUUCAAAAUUGUUACAGAUAUGGCUGCCGAUGUCAAUAUCAAAACCAGCGCCCCAUAUUAAAGGACACAAGGACCACCUAUUUUCACAUAAGACCUACGACCCCCGAGCAUUUUUGUGAGACCGAUGGUUCCUUGUAUACAUGUAAGAUGCGCCUGGUUCAGAACUAACCACUGUCUGUAUGUCUCAUCCAAUGCUGGUCCUGUUCAAUCCCCUGUCCAUCACAGGGACCACUCACCGAAUCUCCCCAGAGACACUGAGUGACACUCGAUGUGACUGAACGAUGGUCCCUACACGAACUGAUGUCAGAUAAUACUUGGAACACUCGACUAACUGUCACGUAAAGUGCUUCAUUGAUUCCGUCCAUAUAACGCCGUCCGUCAACUAGUGCUCCUCCUUACCGUCCACAGUAUUAUGUUUUGUUUUGGUUUUUUGUUUGGUUGUUUUAUUUUAUUUAUAUUUAUUUAUUUUCAAUCGUUGAGUUUAAUAUUUUUAACUUUAAUUUUUGACAUUUUGAUUUAUUACGUUUGUAAUUCUACAUGGGUUUUCAGUGCUUUGUAGCUUUACUUAGAAUUAAUGUUUGUCAUUCCAUGUAUGCUUAAUACCAGUAUAUCCCACAUUUAUGUAAUGCUAGUGAUAAGCAACAAAGCAAACCAUUUUUGAUAAGCAAAGCAAUGCUGUUAAGUAGUGUUGUUCAUCAAAGUUAAUAUCUGAUUUUUUUUAUUUUUCAUUUGUUCAUCAAAGCAAAUCUGUGAUAUGAUUGUUGUUGAUCAAAGCAAAUCUGUGAUGUAGUUUUAGUUCAGAGUAGUUUUUGUUCAUCAAAGCAAACCUGUGAUAUAGUUUUUUGUAUUCUUUAUUUAUAUAAGCAAAUCUGUGAUAUAAUUUGUGAUAUAGCUCAUCAAAGCAAGUCUGUGAUAUAGCUUUUGGUAUUUUUAUUUAUCAAAGCAAGUCUGUGAUAUAUUUGUUUUUAAUUUUUUGUUCAUCAUUGCAUUGAUCUGUGAUAUUGUAUUUUUUUGUUUUUGUUUUUUUUUUUGUUUACGAGGAGGGGUCUUAUAGAGCAUAUGUGAUAUAAGGGUUUAUUUUAUUGUCCAUUAAAUCUAGAUAUACUUUAAAUUUCUCUAAAGCUUGUCCACUAUAGUUUUUGAUAGUUUUCUAUAGUUGAAGAUAUAUCUUAAUGAAAGCAUAACAGAGAGAGAGAGAGAGAGAGAGAGAGAGAGAGAGAGAGAGAGAGAGAGAGAGAGAGAGUAGACAAAGAACAAGUAAUAUAUAAACAUUUAUUUAGAAUAAAGAUUUGAAACUGU